GGGAUUACUCACAGGAUAAAUCACUGCAUAGUGAGUUCCAGCUUGGCCCUCAACUGAUCUGCAAUCAAGUCAGUCCCUGCUGAUCUCCUUCACCUGAGCAUCACCAAAAGCUGAGAAGGAAGCAGGGCAGGAAGGCAUAAAAGAAGGCUCCUCAGUACAUGGGUUUUAUUAUAUUGUAUUUUAUUUUUUUUGUAAACAGAUAACUGUGUUUACGCCUCAAACUCCUCCCCACACACGAGUAGUGGGUAUUUGAUGACUCCUCUUCAGAGCACGGCUCUAUCAGGGGGGCCAGAGGGAAAGAUAUGGCUACAGCAGAAGUAAAUCAAGUGAAUGCCAUUUGGACAAGACAUCCUGUAUAUUCUUCAGUCGAAAGCCUAAAUUUAAAUUAGCGCAACUGCUUUUGAUAAAAACAAGCUAGUCAAUGAAAACAAAAAUUCUGCUUCUGGGAGCAUUCCUGAGCAAGCACUGCCCCAUCCUUACCAUUUUUCAGAAGAGGGGCUUUAUCCACCCCCGUGAACUGCCCAGGGUCACUGAGAUUUAUUAACAAGGGGCUGUGGCAUGAUAUAGAAGAACGAGCAAGAGGCAAUAGUUCUUGAGAGCAGCUGGAAAAGGAUUUAUUUUCAUUAGACACUUCAACCUCUAGACAGCAAACUAAAGUUCGUGGUCGGAGUCUGAAAUCCAACAGAAUGGCUUUGUUCAGAUCAGUUAAUUGGGAGCUAAGCCAACCACGCUACGAGAUCAUUGCCCUCCCUCCGAGCUUCUGCCUCUUCAAGACCUCAGAACAGUGCUGGCCAACAUUUCCUGGUAACGCGGUGAAACAAUGCACUUUGGGGAAUAAUACUGAGCAGGUGGGAUGAGUAACACACCAAAACCAUAGCUUUUGCUGCUGUAACUUCAUGUGCAACAAUCAUGUAAAAAUAAAUCACCGUGAUCAAGUAAGGGUUGUUCA
rnacentral:lncRNA from 1 species